rnacentral:rRNA from 1 species
GACGAACGCUGGCGGCGUGCUUAACACAUGCAAGUCGAACGGAAAGGCCCUGCUUUUGUGGGGUGCUCGAGUGGCGAACGGGUGAGUAACACGUGAGUAACCUGCCCUUGACUUUGGGAUAACUUCAGGAAACUGGGGCUAAUACCGGAUAGGAGCUCCUGCUGCAUGGUGGGGGUUGGAAAGUUUCGGCGGUUGGGGAUGGACUCGCGGCUUAUCAGCUUGUUGGUGGGGUAGUGGCUUACCAAGGCUUUGACGGGUAGCCGGCCUGAGAGGGUGACCGGCCACAUGGGGGCUGAGAUACGGCGCAGACUCCUACGGGAGGCAGCAGUGGGGAAUAUUGCACAAUGGGCGGAAGCCUGAUGCAGCAACGCCGCGUGCGGGAUGACGGCCUUCGGGUUGUAAACCGCUUUCGCCUGUGACGAAGCGUGAGUGACGGUAAUGGGUAAAGAAGCACCGGCUAACUACGUG